GUUAUGCUGAGAGAGGAACAGAUUGCUCCCCUGACUCCAGUAACAAGGAGUGCUUUUAGAUUGAGGAGUUUUCAAAGGGAGAUUCAGAACCUGAGCUUGUUCCCUAGGCUAAUGUGCCCUGGGCAGAAUAUUUAUUUAGGAAAGAGGGUUUUUAGUUUGUGUGAACUGACCUGCUUCAGACCAUGAAUAAUGAGGAAUUGAUACUUGAACCCAUUUCCUCUGAUCCUCAACUUUCUGCAUAUGCAUUUUUGUUGUUAUUUGUUUACCUUUUGAACAGGAUGGACCGCACCAACGCAGCUUGUUCCCCUCGUAAGUCCCUGACUGUGGCCAAGUCUACCCCUCGGCGUUUUCGAACCCGUACUGAACCCAGGGAGCCUGGAAGCUGUGUGGGCGCGGCACGCACCUGCGCAGUUCCGUCAACGCUCACCUGCCCAGGGCAUCCGGAACCUCUAGGUCUGUGAGAACCCAGGCUACCUCAGCUCUGCCAGCAGCCUUUGUUGAGCUGCGCAUCAGCUGCAGGGUACUCAUGAUACGGAGUAGAGAAGGUUGUUGGAGCCCGACCUGUUGGAGGACACACAGAACGUUUGUGGGAGUCAAGUUCCCGAAUGUUUCUCCUCAGAGGACUAUCAGGCCUUGCGGGGGGCAUGGCAGACUUUCCGGCGAUCCGGUGAGACGUGGCUUCAGGCUGCAGGGAAACAGAGGCAUAUGAGUCAACCAUACAUUAAAGUUCCUGUGUAGUGAUUCUACUCACAUGACCCAUGGAUACUUCAGUUUGCUUCCUCACAGCAAUGGAUGCCAGAUCUCAAGGAUUAUAAUCCUUGUAUCUCCAGCACUGGAUUUUUGAUGGAAUAAUGGAUGGUGGUCUGAUGAGCUCUGUUCUGCUCACCCAGGAACUGCUCUUCGCAUUGAUUUUGUUUAAAGGAAAGCUUGUGUGUAGUAUAACCUUUAGCGUGCGCAGAAAAUAACACCCAGAGUCGUGUAGCAAAUGGCAGCUGAAUUUUAAAAGUUGAACACAAUCCAAACAAGGUUAUUGUACUUUCUUCACUGAUUUUGUAAAUCAACAUAUUAAAC